UACGAAGGGGGCAAGCGUUGUUCGGAAUUACUGGGCGUAAAGGGCGCGUAGGCGGAAUGGCAAGUCGGUCGUGAAAUCCUUCGGCUCAACCGAAGAACGUCGAUCGAAACUGCCGUUCUUGAGGAUUGCAGAGGAGACUGGAAUUCCCGGUGUAGCGGUGAAAUGUGUAGAGAUCGGGAGGAACACCGGUGGCGAAGGCGGGUCUCUGGGCAAUUCCUGACGCUGAGGCGCGAAAGCGUGGGGAGCAAACGGG
rnacentral:rRNA from 1 species